CUGGGCGUAAGCGCAUCGUAGGUGGUUAUAUUAAGUCAGAUGUGAAAGCCCGGGGCUUAACCUCGGAAUCGCAUUAGAAACUGGUUGGCUAGAGUACUGUAGAGGGGGGUAGAAUUUCAGGUGUAGCGGUGAAAUGCGUAGAGAUCUGAAGGAAUACCGGUGGCGAAGGCGGCCCCCUGGACAGAUACUGACACUGAGAUGCGAAAGCGUGGGGAGCAAACAGGAUUAGAUACCCUGGUAGUCCACGCCGUAAACGAUGUCUACUUGGAGGUUGCGGCCUUGAGCUGUGGCUUUCGGAGCUAACGCGUUAAGUAGACCGCCUGGGGAGUACGGUCGCAAGAUUAAAACUCAAAGGAAUUGACGGG
rnacentral:rRNA from 1 species